AUACCGCAUACGCCCUACGGGGGAAAGCAGGGGAUCUUCGGACCUUGCGUUAAUGGAGCGGCCGAUAUCUGAUUAGCUAGUUGGUGAGGUAAAGGCUCACCAAGGCGACGAUCAGUAGCUGGUCUGAGAGGACGACCAGCCACACUGGAACUGAGACACGGUCCAGACUCCUACGGGAGGCAGCAGUGGGGAAUUUUGGACAAUGGGGGCAACCCUGAUCCAGCCAUUCCGCGUGAGUGAAGAAGGCCUUCGGGUUGUAAAGCUCUUUCGCAAGGGAAGAAACGAUACAGUCUAAUAAACUGUGUUAAUGACGGUACCUUGAUAAGAAGCACCGGCUAACUACGUGCCAGCAGCCGCGGUAAUACGUAGGGUGCGAGCGUUAAUCGGAAUUACUGGGCGUAAAGCGUGCGCAGGCGGUUUUGAAAGUCAGAUGUGAAAUCCCCGGGCUCAACCUGGGAACUGCGUUUGAAACUCCAAAGCUAGAGUAUGGGAGAGGGGGGUAGAAUUCCACGUGUAGCAGUGAAAUGCGUAGAGAUGUGGAGGAAUACCAAUGGCGAAAGCAGCCCCCUGGCUUAAUACUGACGCUCAUGCACGAAAGCGUGGGGAGCAAACAGGAUUAGAUACCCUGGUAGUCCACGCCCUAAACGAUGUCUACUAGUUGUUGGGAGAG
rnacentral:rRNA from 1 species